rnacentral:rRNA from 1 species
AAUGAAUAACAUUUUUAAUGGCCGCAGUAAUUUGACUGUGCAAAGGUAGCAUAAUCAUUAGUCUUUUAAUUGAAGGCUUGUAUGAAUGGUUGGACGAAGUAUAAUCUGUUUCAUAAAAAUUUAUAAUAGAAUUUUAUAUUUUAGUGAAAAAGCUAAAAUUUUUUUAAAAGACGAGAAGACCCUAUAAAUCUUUAUAAUUCUUAUUAUUUUAUUUUUUUUGAUUAAUUUUGUUAUUAUAAUUAGAAUUAUUUUAUUGGGGUGAUAUUAAAAUUUAAAUAACUUUUAUUUUUUUUUUCCAUUAAUUUAUGUUUUGUUGACCCAUUAACAAUGAUUAUUAAAAUAAGUUACUUUAGGGAUAACAGCGUAAUUUUUUUGGAGAGUUCUUAUUGAUAAAAAAGUUUGCGACCCCAAUGUUGGAUUAAAAAAUAAUUUUAGGUGUAGAUGCUUAAA